rnacentral:rRNA from 1 species
UACGUAGGUGGCAAGCGUUGUCCGGAAUUAUUGGGCGUAAAGAGCGUGUAGGCGGUUCGGUAAGUCUGCCGUGAAACCUGGGCUCAACCCCGGGCGUGCGGUGGAUACUGCCGGGCUAGAGGGUGGUAGAGGCGAGUGGAAUUCCCGGUGUAGCGGUGAAAUGCGCAGAUAUCGGGAGGAACACCAGUAGCGAAGGCGGCUCGCUGGGCCAUUCCUGACGCUGAGACGCGAAAGCUAGGGGAGCGAACGAGG